rnacentral:rRNA from 1 species
AGAACGAACGCUGGCGGCAGGCUUAACACAUGCAAGUCGAGCGCCCCGCAAGGGGAGCGGCAGACGGGUGAGUAACGCGUGGGAAUCUACCCAAUUCUACGGAAUAACACAGGGAAACUUGUGCUAAUACCGUAUACGCCCUACGGGGGAAAGAUUUAUCGGAGUUGGAUGAGCCCGCGUUGGAUUAGCUAGUUGGUGGGGUAAUGGCCUACCAAGGCGACGAUCCAUAGCUGGUCUGAGAGGAUGAUCAGCCACACUGGGACUGAGACACGGCCCAGACUCCUACGGGAGGCAGCAGUGGGGAAUAUUGGACAAUGGGCGAAAGCCUGAUCCAGCCAUGCCGCGUGAGUGAUGAAGGCCUUAGGGUUGUAAAGCUCUUUCAGUGGGGAAGAUAAUGACGGUACCCACAGAAGAAGCCCCGGCUAACUUCGUGCCAGCAGCCGC